rnacentral:rRNA from 1 species
GACGAACGCUGGCGGCGUGCCUAAUACAUGCAAGUUGAGCGCUGAAGGUUGGUACUUGUACCGACUGGAUGAGCAGCGAACGGGUGAGUAACGCGUGGGGAAUCUGCCUUUGAGCGGGGGACAACAUUUGGAAACGAAUGCUAAUACCGCAUAAAAACUUUAAACACAAGUUUUAAGUUUGAAAGAUGCAAUUGCAUCACUCAAAGAUGAUCCCGCGUUGUAUUAGCUAGUUGGUGAGGUAAAGGCUCACCAAGGCGAUGAUACAUAGCCGACCUGAGAGGGUGAUCGGCCACAUUGGGACUGAGACACGGCCCAAACUCCUACGGGAGGCAGCAGUAGGGAAUCUUCGGCAAUGGACGAAAGUCUGACCGAGCAACGCCGCGUGAGUGAAGAAGGUUUUCGGAUCGUAAAACUCUGUUGGUAGAGAAGAACGUUGGUGAGAGUGGGAAGCUCAUCAAGUGACGGUAACUACCCAGAAAGGGACGGCUAACUACGUG